rnacentral:rRNA from 1 species
AUGCUUUUUAAUUUAUACUCUAUAUUUUGUUAUUUUUCUAUUUUUAAUUUAAUUUUAUUUUAUUUUUGUAAAAUAUUUUAAUUUUUUGUAUUUUUUAGAAAAAUUUAAAAUUUGGUUAAUUGAACUGGAUUAGUACCCAGGUAAUCAAAAUUUAUUAAUGCGGGAGUAAAGUUAAUUUUAAACCGAAAAAAUAUUGGCUUGACCUUAAAUUUUUCUUUGGAACAUGUAAUUUUUGGAGAGUCCUCCCUAUUAUUUUUUUUUUUGCUCAUGUAUGAUUGUUUAUUUUUUAUAUUAUGUAUGAUUAUUUUUCUUUUAGAAUUAAAUGCAGAUAAAUACUUGGUUUAUGAAAAAUUUUUUUAUGUGUUACUAUUAUUAAUUUUAUCGGAUUAUUAAUUUGUUAUUAAUAGAAGUUGGAAAAGAAAGUAAUUUUUUCUUUAUGUUAGAAUGA